CCUACGGGAUGCACCAGUGGGGAAUAUUGGGCAAUGGGGGAAACCCUGACCCAGCAACGCCGCGUGAAGGAAGAAGGCCUUCGGGUUGUAAACUUCUUUUACCAGGGACGAAGAACGUGACGGUACCUGGAGAAAAAGCAACGGCUAACUACGUGCCAGCAGCCGCGGUAAUACGUAGGUUGCAAGCGUUGACCGGAUUUACUGGGUGUAAAGGGCGUGUAGGCGGAGAUGCAAGUUGGGAGUGAAAUCCCGGGGCUCAACCCCGGAACUGCUUUCAAAACUGCAUCCCUUGAGUAUCGGAGAGGCAAGCAGAAUUCCUAGUGUAGCGGUGAAAUGCGUAGAUAUUAGGAGGAACACCAGUGGCGAAGGCGGCUUGCUGGACGACAACUGACGCUGAGGCGCGAAAGCGUGGGGAGCAAACAGGAUUAGAUACCCGGGUAGUC
rnacentral:rRNA from 1 species